UACAGCCAUAUCAUGUUGAAACAUUGGUUCUCUUACAAUCACUGAAGUUAAGCAAUAUUGAGCCUGUUCAGUACCUAGGUGGGUGAUCACUUGGGAAUAUCAGGUACU